AGUCGUAACAAGGUUUCCGUAGGUGAACCUGCGGAAGGAUCAUUGUCGAUGCCUUACAAGCAGACCAACACGUGAAUCAGUUUGAACACAUAGGGUUGGUUUGAGGUGUUCAACACCUCGGCUUGCCUCUGGUUCGGAGGAGGACGAUGUUGUGCGUUCUCCUUUGUGCCAAAACACAAACCCCGGCGCUGAAUGCGUCAAGGAAUUUAAAAUUUGCUCUGAGCGCACCUGCAUGGCACCGGAGACGGUUUUCGUGCGGGUUGUGUUCUGACACAUAAUAUAGAAUGACUCUCGGCAACGGAUAUCUAGGCUCUU
rnacentral:misc_RNA from 1 species